GAACGAACGCUGGCGGCGUGCCUAACACAUGCAAGUCGAACGGGAUUUGAGAGCUUGCUCUUAAAUUUAGUGGCGCACGGGUGAGUAACGCGUAGAUAAUCUGCCUGAUGAUCUGGGAUAACACUUCGAAAGAGGUGCUAAUACCGGAUAAGCCCACGGAGUCUUUGGAUUCUGCGGGAAAAGGGGGGGACCUUCGGGCCUUCUGUCAUCAGAUGAGUCUGCGUACCAUUAGCUAGUUGGUAGGGUAAUGGCCUACCAAGGCUACGAUGGUUAGCUGGUCUGAGAGGAUGAUCAGCCACACUGGAACUGAGACACGGUCCAGACUCCUACGGGAGGCAGCAGUGGGGAAUUUUGCGCAAUGGGCGAAAGCCUGACGCAGCAACGCCGCGUGAGUGAUGAAGGCUUUCGGGUCGUAAAGCUCUGUCGAGGGGAAAGAAGUGCAUUUUGGCUAAUAUCCAGAAUGCUUGACGGUACCCCUAAAGGAAGCACCGGCUAACUCCGUGCCAGCAGCCGCGGUAAUACGGGGGGUGCAAGCGUUGUUCGGAAUUAUUGGGCGUAAAGCGCGUGUAGGCGGUCUGAUUAGUCUGAUGUGAAAGCCCUGGGCUCAACCCAGGAAGUGCAUUGGAUACUGUCAGACUUGAAUACGGGAGAGGGUAGUGGAAUUCCUAGUGUAGGAGUGAAAUCCGUAGAUAUUAGGAGGAACACCGGUGGCGAAGGCGGCUACCUGGACCGAUAUUGACGCUGAGACGCGAAAGCGUGGGUAGCAAACAGGAUUAGAUACCCUGGUAGUCCACGCCGUAAACGAUGAGUACUAGGUGUUGCGGGUAUUGACCCCUGCAGUGCCGCAGCUAACGCAUUAAGUACUCCGCCUGGGAAGUACGGUCGCAAGACUAAAACUUAAAU
rnacentral:rRNA from 1 species